CUGUCGGAGAGAGAAAAUACAACAAAAUUAAUCUACUUCCUCUGGCGGAGGAUCUUGCAAUGCUUAGGGCGUACCUGGACAAAAAUCCCCAGACAAGAAAGUGAAAUUUUAGUUUGGGUUAGGCUACACCUAUAAAAAGGAUAUCACAGACUCGUGUAAUACAAAUGUUUACCCAACAGAGAAGCAUAGUGCUGGCAUACCAGAAAUGCAUAAAGCUAAUGUUUUUUUACUUUAUUUUCCAGAAUUAUCAAGCACUGGCCAAGUUUCUCAUAUCUAGUAAAAGACAAGUGUUAGUGGUAGUGCUCCCCCAACAUUACAGGAGGGUCUUUCCAUUUGAAGCUAUAGCAGCAGUCAGCUGUACUUUAGUAGUGCCCAGUCUUUUAACAGUCUUCAUAAUAAAAUCUUGUAGGACAUGCUCACAAUGCCACAAAUACAAUUGUCUGCAAUAGAAAGCCUGUUUUACUUUUUUUUUUAAAUCUAUGUCUCGUACUAUAUACCAGAUUUCUGUUACAUGAUAAUAGCAAACUCAAGUAUAGAAUAUGUGAAAAAUUUGUUUUGGUGAAGAUGAGAAACAACUGACACCCUUCAGUGCUUAUGUACAGUAGACAAUUACUUAUCUAUAAAAAAAACUAAAAAUAGUAAAAGCUAGCUGAAAAAAUGUAUAAAAUAGUAAUAAAUUUCAUUUCUAAUAUUGUAAGUUUAUUCUAUACUAUUUUUAGUGAAUGAUCAUACAAGCCCAGGGGCUUUAUUAAGAUCUUACAUUAGUCAAUCCCCUGAUUCGAGACUACUCUUAUAGUGUACAUACACUAUUUAUUUUAUACACUAUUUGUGUGUGUGUUGGGUGUACCACAACUUUCCUGUAAUUCAGUUCCUGGCUACAAAAGCAUAAACUAUGACUAAUGUUGACUCUAUCUGUUAAACACUUUUACAAACAUUUAACCAAUUACGUUUACAAAAACAAACUAUGGGCUGUUAUUUAAAGAACGAGCGAAAUGAAAAUUGCUUACCUCUGCUUCUAUUACUAAUCUUGUAUGUUAUUGAACCAAACUUGGACUGAACUUCGGUUGAAUAUAGUGUUAAAAAGUUGUUAUAGCAUCAUAUAAAAUUAGGUAUAAGCAAGUUCUUGAAAUCACCCAUACUGGUACUGGUAGUUAUGUGGGACUGUGGGGCUCCAUCUCGGAUAAUAUCACCCAUACUGGUACUGAUGGUUAUGUGGGACUGUGGGGCUCUAUCUCGGAUAAUAUCACCCAUACUGGUACUGAUGGUUAUGUGGGACUGUGGGGCUCUAUCUCGGAUAAUAUCAAAAUGUUAAGGGGCAGCAGAGGCAAGUACAUCUAAAUAGACAUCUAGUAGGUUCUAAUAAGAUAAUUUCUGAUAAUAAUACAAUAUCAAGGUGUCCAGAAAAGGGAAGGAGGGUAUCUGAAUAGACAUCUAGAAGAUCCUAAUAAGAUAAGAGGGAUAUAACCAUCUAAUUGCAAAUAAUCAGAGGGAAACAAUGAUAAUAUCCUAAUCUCAAUAUCAGAUAUAAGUGAUUUUUCUCUUUGUGGGAGUAAGAAAGCCAAACGUAGAAAUGGACAUUACAUCCCUUUACUAUCAGCAAAAAGCUAGAUCCCCCCUAGAAUAUUAUCAAGUGGUUAUUUUUUUGUAUCUAAUUUUUAUUAUGUAAUUAUAUUCAUUUAUCAUACUCUGAUUGAAAUACCAAGUAAACACAUGUGGCAUAAAAAAUACCUGGUCAAUUUGGAUAGAGCAUUAACUACUUAUUUUACAGUCAAGUAAGUAAAGCAUAUGAUACUUAUGAGUUAUGAGCGAUUAAUUAUAAAUUUUUGUGAUUACUCUAGCUUGUUACACUAAAAGUUAUAGAACGCACAAUAAAAUAUUCCGGUUCCGAAUUUAAACGACAGUGGAUAAAAUAUUUUUAUUAUUACAAAGUGCAGAUGGACAGGAUAGUUCUGUGAGAAAUUAGGAGACUGAAUAGUCCUAUUCACAGUCCCCGCCGCCAUCUUGGAUACAAACAUGAAAACAAGGCGAGAGUUGACUCAUAAUCAAAACAAACAUUGUUGUCAUUGCUGAGUUUUUGGCAAAAAUGGUUCUAGUUUAUCAAAAUGUCAAUCUCAAUUCGUUAGAAGACAUUCAGAAACUUUCUGUAAAGAGUCUUAGAGAUGUUUUACGUUCCUACAAAGAAAAUACGAGCGGCAUAAAGGCCGAUCUCGUCCUAAAAGUCUACGCGAUUCUUAUGUCACACGUGCUAGAUGGCGGGCCAAGUGUCCGGAAGUAGAAAACCCGCAAGAUUGCGUUACUUUAUAAUACUGUAUUACGUUACAUAUUUAGUUUUGUUAUGUGAUCAUGUUGUAAUUCGAGAUAGGUAAAAAAGGGGGUUGUGCCCCUAGAGUUGAGAUGCGAGUGUACUAUUACUACGGAGAGUUUGUGAUCAAGAAAUAAAGUAAAGAGAAUAUAAGUGAGUUUAUUUGGUUGUCCCCGACAAGCUCAACACAAGUUCAAAGUCAAACUGUUGGUAUCAACUUUGCCACAGACCAAAUGCAAGUGGGCUUUUUUGUGGGUACCAGGGGGUGAAGCUUGCGAGGCACAUCAAAAGGCAACAUUCCAAGGAAUCUGAAGUGGCCUGCCAGCUUGCAGGAACGAGUAAAAAGAACAAAGUAAAAGAACACGAAAGGCUCCGGCUCCUCAGUGAUUAUCACCACAAUUGCAAUGUCCUGAGCUUAGGCGAAGGACAACUGAUUGUGGUAUGCCUACCUCCCUUGUAAGUCGUGCCUUGGGUUUCACAAGGGGGACGACCUUUGGAGGCACAGAAAGAAGUGUGCGUUUAAACAGCAUGGGACAGACGAAGAAGUUGGUAUCACCUUUGCCACAGACCAAAUGCAAGUGGGCUUUUUUGUGGGUACCAGGGGGUGAAGCUUGCGAGGCACAUCAAAAGGCAACAUUCCAAGGAAUCUGAAGUGGCCUGCCAGCUUGCAGGAACGAG